GACGGAGGAUGCAAGGGUUAUCCGGAAUCACUGGGCGUAAAGCGUCUGUAGGUUGUUUAAAAAGUCUGCAGUUAAAGGUUGAAGCUUAACUUCAAAAAUGCCGUAGAAACUUUUAAACUAGAGGAUGGUAGGGGUAGAGGGAAUUUCCAGUGGAGCGGUGAAAUGUGUAGAUAUUGGAAAGACCACCGAUGGCGAAGGCACUCUACUGGGCCAUGACUGACACUGAGAGACGAAAGCUAGGGGAGCAAACGGG
rnacentral:rRNA from 1 species